AGAAACAGCCAGAAAUGAAUAACCAAAUUAUGAAAACAGCCCUAGUGUCUAUCAACUGAUGAAUGGAUAGAAAAGAUGUGGAAUACAUACAAUGGAAUAUUACUCAGCCAUUAAAAUGGAAUAUUGCCAUUUGUAGCGAUGUGGAUGGAGCAACAGACAUGCUAAGUAAAUCACAAGAGAAGAUAGCUACAAAAACAAGAGUUCUGACAGAGGCUUUGGAUUUACUCCGAAGAACCACUGAGCAGCAAACAAAACCAAGUGCUUCUUUGGAAUGAACUUUCUAAGCAGAUUUUUGAAACUGAGACA